AUUGUACUCACUUGUCACACCUACAGCCGUCAUUGUACGUAACAUGCUCACAACUAUGUGUUCCUGCCUAAACAAUGAAUUGUUGUGAUCCUUUCAUAUGCAGAUAUAUGCCAUCGUUCGUGAAGAUGACACCAGCAGAGGAUUUAAUAAGAAGACAAUAGUGGCUGUAUUGUGGUACAGUUACAUGCGCUUAACAUUUGUGUGUCCAUUUUUUCUGACGCUUAGACUUUUGGACCCGUUUCCAUGGUAAGAGUUGCUGGCUGAGUUGCAUAGGUCAUGUUAGGAUUUGCUUGAAUUCGUACCUGUCAUUCAGGGAUAGUUCAAAUGUAUGAAGAAAAUAGUGAGUGUUGUGGUUCACAGGUCAUAUGCAACGGCGGUG
rnacentral:lncRNA from 1 species